AUUUAAUAUGCACUCAGUUCUCACUUGUGUGUAUAUAUAUAUAUAGAUAUAUACACACAAGUGAGAACUGAGUGCAUAUUAAAUAAU